rnacentral:tRNA from 1 species
GGUUCCAUAGUGUAAUGGUUAGCACGUCUGCUUUACACAUAGAAGGUCCUGGGUUUGCACCCCAGUGGAGCCA